rnacentral:rRNA from 1 species
GAUGAACGCUGGCGGCGUGCCUAAUACAUGAAAGUCGAGCGAAGCGGGGACGGGUGAGUAACACGUGGAUAACCUCCUAUAAGACUGGGAUAACUUCGGGAAACCGGAGCUAAACCGGAUAAUUAUAGAUGGAUCCGCGCUGCAUUAGCUAGUUGGUAAGGUAACGGCUUACCAAUGAAACGAUGCAUAGCCGACCUGAGAGGGAGAUCGGCCACACUGGAACUGAGACACGGUCCAGACUCCUACGGUAGGCAGCAUUAGUGAAUCUUCCGCAAUGUGCGAAAGCCUGACGGAGCAACGCCGCGUGAGUGAUGAAGUUCUUCGGAUCGUAAAACUCUUUUAUUCGGGAAGCGGUACCUAAUCAGAAAGCCACGGCUAACUACGUGCCAGCCGCCGCGGUAAUAC